UAGCCUGUUGAGGGCAAAGCUAAAACCUGCCUUAAUAAAGCACAGGACAAUAUUUUCUCAUUACAGUCUCAUACAGACACUAAAGGAUAAGCCACUAACACAGUGCAUGGUGACUUGUAUGUUCUGUGGCCAGAAUUUCAUGACGAACCAUGUUGACGUCUGUGAAAUGGUUCACAGUGCUGUAAAGAGACAAAGACUGGAUGGGUUCUCAAGAACUUUGAAUAAAGCAAAAAUAAACUAA
rnacentral:lncRNA from 1 species